GCGUUGCUAAGGGAGCGGGCCCAAAAUGGCGGCCUGCAGCGCGGCGGCGUGCAGCAGGGCUGUGAAAGUUCCUGGACAAAAUUAGAUUCGAUAAGGAAAACAGACCUAAAACCAGCCUCGAGAUAAUCCCAGAAUCAUUAAGAUUGGAAAAGAUGGCUAAGAUCCGCAGGUGACCCUCUGCUGGUGCAACCGGAGUCUGUUACCUCGAGUCUGCUUGGUACAGCCUUCUGGGUUUGCUGCUGGAGGCAGCCCCGUGUCCUCCAAGCAGAGUGCUUUGUUUGCUGACUGCUGCUGAGAAGCAGGAGGAGGAACUCACGUGUUCGUGGCUUGCACAGAGGUUGGGAGUACAAACCAGACUGUGAAGUCAUGGGAAGGAUGCUUACUUUUCAGCCACUCAAAAUUGAGGUGAAUGCCAGCUUCUCAACCUAUGCUUCUCAUUCCUCUGAACCGAUUUGUCCUUACUGCCCCCAAGAAUGAAGGAGUCAUUCGAUAGCUCUUGUAUUGUAUUUUUAAUUGACUGUCUUCAAAAGGGUGCAUUGCAUCUGGGGUGGGAGGUCUUAACACAGUAGUAAGCUAUGCAGGGAGUCGUACUAAACAAUCUCUGUCCUACAGCAAGAAUGAACAAGAUACUUUAUUGCGUGAGAGAUUCCAGAGGCUUUAUCUUCCCCUCUGCACAGAGACUCCAUUAAGAUUAAUCAGCCACACAUACACAUUCCAUAGGAGAACACAAAUCAUAUGGAAUCUUCUUAUCGAGUUAAUGAAUGACUCACCUCCCUCCCAUCCCUUCCUCCCGUGCAAGGAGCCCAAGGCAAAUGUCCCACAAACCCACACGUGUUGAGUUCUGCACUCAGCACUCCAGGUCGGAGACAAAGUUCCUCUCAGCUCCAGAAGGAAUUCUUUGAAGGAGUCCAUAAGCAGAGCUACGGAGGGUUUGUGGGAUGGUCUGUCAGUGGAUGGAGGCUCUCCAAGCACAGCUUUAAGAAAAUGAAUCUUUCAUACGUAGAACAAACAAGCAGCAUAUUUAAAAUAGAGCAAGCAUUAGUGAGGGGAGGUGUUCCCACUGAUGCUGGGUUCAGUUACCAGAGCUGUAGCUGUGUUUCUUUAUAGCCAGAAGUCCUGAAUUUUGGAACUGGGCUUCUCAUGUGGCUUUGUCACUAGCCACUAGGUUGUCUUAUUUACUUUUCAACUCCCCUUUCUGAAGAGUAGCGUAGUGACAGCCAAUUCAAGCGUGGGGCCCGAGGGGAAGAACCAGAUUUACUCAUCUCCUGGAAAAAAUAAUAGUUCUUUAAAUGAGCUAAAGCUUAGCACAGGGUAGGAGCCCAGGACAAGACAUUUUAAAGCAUUUUAAGAGUGCAAAGGAUAGAGCCAGGAAUGAUAGUGCUGACAUCUGAUGUCCCCUAACUAGCCGUAGAACACACUAAUUAAUCUCAGUAUAGCUGCUCUGAUGGUAGGACUCAUACCUGACUUGCUGUAACUGAUUGCAGGUAUGCCACGGUCAUUCGGUGUCACAAUCCAGGCAGCACUAUGCUGCUGUGUUGUUUCAAGGUAUGCAUUUGAAUGAGAAACCAAAAUAACUGCAUUGUAUGGCCAUGCAGUCUGGCCUUUCUUGACUUGCUGCUGCUCUUUCAGCUCAGCUGAGGGCUGAGAAUAGCAUAACCUGCUGGGGAAGCAAAGUUCCAAGUUCUCGGAGUUUUCUUCUCUCUCAGUCUGCUAUUAAAUCCCAAAGCAAAUGACCUGGGGGAGCUGAAUCCUUCAGAGGGAUCUCUGUGUCACUGCAGCAGGUGAAUUUAACACUAUUACCAGUGUUGAUAAAACUCAAGAAUUCAGCAGGCAGACGUGAACAAACUUUUCUCCAAGCGCACCCAGUAACAGUGCCCUGGGCUGGCACUGCUUUCUUGUUCCAUUCCUCAGAGUUCACCAACUGAGUCUGCCAUAAAUCACCCCUCCUCUCCCCCCCGGGAAAACUAGAUUAUUCAUUUACUGCAUAGAAAGCAAAAUGUCCUUUACAACGUGUCUCCAUGUCCUGGCCAAAGACCAAAUGAGUAUAACCUCUUUUCUUCCUCUUUUCAGAAGUCCUAGAGCCUUUGACCAGGUUUCCUCUGUGUACUGUAUGUUCUCUGUGCUUGUUAUUCUUUCUCCUACUGCUUUCACCUUCCAUUCCUGAGAUGCUAUACUCUGGGGAUGCCUACUUGGAAACAUGUAUUGAAUACGCUGGAUGAGUUGAAGGAAAGCUGCUUUGUCAGCGUUGUUGACAGCUUUCUCUGAGUGCAGUGCCCAGAACAAAAGGCCAGUGCAGUAAACAGCUGCAUCCUGAACAUGCUCACAGGCUGCAGAAAUACAACUGUAUCAUCAUUUAAUAAAUAGAGUACAGGAAAUAAGCAAGCAAUAGUGAGGAUUCAUCAGGUUGCCUUUUGUUUGUUGUUUGUCAGGCAUGUUUAUACAAGAGAGGGUACGGAUUUGGCAUCUAGCAGUGGGAUUGUCAGCUCCGUCCAGCUGAAGCCCAUCUUCAAGCUUUGCAAGAACUUGACUGAGGAUAGCCCUCAGGCUUGGCAACCAGGACAGCUCAACAGACAGGGCAGGCUGGGAGAUGGUCUGUGAGUUUUCUGAUUUCCUCCGUAGGUCCCUCUGUUUUAUGCAAACCUUUGUUCCAAGCAAGAGCUCCUGCUCUGUGGGGGAUCGGUUCACGCUCAGGUCUGUCAUGCCCUCUGUCUGUGCUUGUAUCCUGGAGCUUCUGUAGCUGGGAAGAACACAAAAAGCAUGAUGUCAGCUUUGUUUACCCAUUCUCCAAAUCAGACUGAGUCAGAGUUCUUGUGACUCUGAGGUCAUCAUCACCAUCACUUUGACCUCUUGGUGGGAAGAAGGCUGUGCUUCUGCUCUGUCACACAGCUGCUUCUUAUCUCUUAUUUCAGCCUAUUGAGCAUCUCUUUGUGUUUCAUUACAGUAAGUGGCUUCUGGGUAGUGCAGGGAGGAAAGCAGAUGUCACUGCCUUUGUAGUUGUGGUCAGUAGUUAACUUGUCUCUCCCUUGUUGAAAGCCAGCUUUCAUCAGCGUCCUCCCCUCCUUCGUCAUCCCAAAUCACCACCAAAUCACAUCCCAAAUCACUCCCCCGCGCGCUCUUCCUCCUGCCUGUAACCAUAAUGCCACUAGGUGGAGUAUUGCUCUUAAAAAAGAGAAGAGCCGAGCUUAGGGCGAUACCCUUGGGCGGUAGCUGUGAUGAAGCCCUGCUCACAAGCUGGCCGAUGAGCACAGGAUCUGAGCACAGCUCUGUGUCGGAUCUCCAGCACCCAUGUCCCCUUCAGGCCCAGGGACCUCCCUUGCACCCCGACUCACCCGGCUGUAUGCGCACCGUGCGGCACAGCCCCUUGCUCGGCUGAUCCUUGUACAUGGACUUCACACACACUUUGUUUGUGGUGCCCGGGGCCAUGUCUGUGAGGAGCACGCUGUGGAUUUGUGGUGACACACUGAUGAGCGAUGAAGGGCCGGUUUGCCGCCGGCACCUGACUCUGUAACCAAGGACCUUCCCGUCGGCAGCAUCCCAUGAAGCCUUCAGGGUGUUGGAGCCCAUGUCUUCAAAGCGAAGAUGCCUCACUUUGGAGCCCUCUAGAGAAAGGAGAAGAUCCUUGUUACUGUGGGCCUCUGAAUGGAGCAGUUGUUGUGGCUUUGGUAGCAGCUCAGCCAUAUACAGCCCAUAAGAGUGGUCAUACUGUAUACGGCCGAUUUGCUUUCAGCCAUAGAAUCACAGAACCAUUAAGGUUGGAAAAGACCUCUAAGAUCCCCAAGCCCAACCCACCUCACCAUGCCCACUGGCCGUGUCCCUCAGUGCCACAUCUCUAUGGUUCUUGAGCACCCACUGGGAUGGUGACUCCCUGCUGUUUCCCAACAUCCAAUCUGCCCCUCCCAUGGUGCAAUUUGAGGCCGUUAGCUUGAGCCCUAGGCUUUAUGUAUCUGCAGCACCCUAAUGGCAUAUCACAUUCUGCUCACCAGAAGCUGCAGCGUUCCCCUCCUCUCAUCCAACUCCAGGAACCAGACUGAGUUUUCAGGUCUCACCCAAAGGCAGAUCUGUGCCCACACCAUUCCCUAUCAGCACAGUCCUGCACACUCACCUUCCUGAGUGCAUGCUUUGGCUGACAACGAUUUCUCCUUUCCUGAACUGUAGAUCGCAGUCACCGUCACCAGAUAGGUGGUGUUGGGUGCCAGGUUCUCCACAACAGUGCUGUUGUGGGUGCCAUCCACCUCCAGCAGCUGCGCCGAGUCCCCACGGAGUGGCCCAUAGAGGACCUGGUAGCUGGUCACGCUGUCUGGUGUAGGAGCCCAGCUGACCUGGAAGCUGUGAGGCCUGGAGUCUGAGAUGAGAACCUGAGCUGGACUGAUUUCCUCUGAAAGAAGCAUGAAAAGAUGGGAAUGAGCAUGCAAUUCAUGGUAUCAGGAUGCUCUCCGAGGAGCACAGUGGACCUGACUUCCAGGAGGUGGAAGAUUUAAAAAGGUUGGCUGUGCUCAGAUGCUGCCCCAAUCCCUCCCCUCACAUAGGGAUGCCCCAGCAGUGCACACCCCUGCCUGGAGAAGCAUGUGCCCUUCUCUAGCUGCUCCUACAGCUCCUGCCUUUUCCCAGGGCUCUGCUUUCUGUCAUAUCCAAGGGUUUUAAGGUUGGAAGGGCAUCUUAUGACCCUCUACUAGGCAGUGCAGAACUUCUUUCUAGGAGAAGAUCUGCAGUGGAGUGCCAGCAAAAAGAUGCCUUCUCCUUGCUCUGUUCUGGCUUGACCGCAACCGUCUGCCUCCCCCCAUCAGACCAGGAGCAGAUCACAGGCUGUCCUGAUUUCCUCUCUAUCUGGGAUGCUCAGCAUGGCAGAAUUUUCCCCACAUCAGGGCUGUGCACACUUUACCUGUCAGGGUGAUAACCCUUAUUGUCUGUGGAGGGAAGUAGUGGAUGUUGGAUUCAGGAAUGAGUGCCACCUCAUAAGUAGUUUCUGGAGCAAGAUUGCUCAGUGUGAGGCUGGUGUGAGCCCCAGACACCUGUGUUGUCCUCUUGGCUGCCAGGUCAUCUGUUGAGGCAUACUGCAGGGUGUAGUAGCCGGUUUCUUGGGAGAGGAGUUGGGGCCACGUCAGACGGAAGCUACUUGAUGUGAUAUCCACCACACGGAGCCGAUUUGCUUGGAUGACAUCUGAAAGAGAGGCAGGAGCAAGAAAUCACUGAUGGCAUUUGUACACAGGACAUGGAACACCAGAAAUGCAGGCCCUUUGGAUGGGAGAUGUGACCUUUGGGGACACUGGAUGACAGCUGAAGUCACUGAGAUGCAGCUGAGCUCCUUGAUAGCAAUUCGGGAGCACAAACCCAAAUUCUCAAAGCCAUGCACAAAGCUCCAAAAAUGAAAGGCACCUGGAAACUUUGCUUCUAACUGGUGGCAUUUAGAGACAGAAAGAAGCUCUGCCACACAAGUCAGUCUUGUUUUUUUUUGUCUGAUUUGUUGCUUGGCUGUGGGGUGGGCAGGAGCACUGCUCCCUCCCAGCACCAUGGGCAUGGGACUCUGCAGCCUCCUGUGAGCCCCACUGCUGCCAGAGGAGCCAGGAACAGAGGAAAGGUCCUAGUGCCAAAAACUCUGCCAAAAGCUCAGGAAACAGAAAUGAACGAGCUUGGCUGCAGGGCAUGGGGAUGCUGCAAAUAAAUCAGGAGGAUUGAAGUGAUGGGAUGCAGCACCCGAGCGAUGAGCUACGGGCAGCCCGAGCACCUCUGCUGCCACAUGACAACUGCCCUGACCACUGAAGAAGGAGAUAAAUCCCAGAAAGUAAAUGCCCAUGAUUUCCUUCUCAGCCCUUCCGUGCUGGCAGCGGGGAGCAGCGUGUAACCUCUGGUGCUGGACCAGGCAGUGCCCUCCUGGGAGCACUUGGACACACUUGCCUCCUGCCUGCUGGUGACUCACACAGGAUGAAGGUGGACACAGAAGCACCGUUCCACAGCAGCGAGCUUGUUGGCAUCCUGUGAAUGCUGGCGAGGUCAAGAUUAGACUUGCAGGAAUGCUGCUGCUUUUAUGAUGUGCGCAAGAAACGCAGUCAGGCAGCAGAUGAACCCCUUCUGCCCUGGAUCCAUAAUCCAUUCUGCAGGAGGUGCAGUGGGGUCUUGGGACAAAACACCUCUGCUUCAUGGCUUUACUUCCCUGCUUUGACAUGGAUGGGGCAACGUUUCCAAUUCUGGGAAGGGGAACACACUUCUCCAUCACCAGAAUGGGCAUUCAAGGUCUGGGAUCGUUUUCCCGGUCACUUGCUCAUGGUCAGUGCUAAGUGAGGGUGUUGGAGGAAAGGAAACCGAGGCAGCGCAUUGCACUGACACAUUCUCCUUUCAUGCUACUAUUUUACACCAUGUGGAUUCAGGAUGCACUAGAAGCUGAAACAGCCACUUGAAAGGAAAUAUUUGGGGUCUGCAUGGCACCUGUAAGAGCAGAAGGUCCUGUACUCGGACAGGACAGAGAAGAGAGCAUGUUCCUGGGUGUGAUUUGCUAAAUGGCAGUGGUUGGAAAUAGCAAGAAACUUCUACACAGAGAGGAUUCUGCACUAAGGGGUUACUUGGACACACCACAGCCAGCUCUGUCUGACUCACACAGCAGAAGCCAAGUAGGGAAUUAAAACAGGACUUCCAACAGGGACAAAGCCUCCAGAAAAUGAAAGGAAAGUCUGCAAAGUCCCAGUUGCUUGCUCAGCUUUCCAAACAGAUCCAAAGGCUGAAGCAGAACCCCUGCUUUGCAAUCAUGGAUGUUCACACCGCAGUGGCACAGAGGACAUGCACUGUGCAGCUCAGCAUGCAGCGCUCCUGCUGGUUUCCCAGCGCUCAUCCCUUGUCCCACAUUCUGGCUUUGACUCUCCCCAGACUCUUUCCCAGGUGCUUUGAAACACAGGGCUGUUAGAAACCAGCUCUCUGCUUGUUCUUGCUGUCUGUGCAGUCAUAGACGUGCCAGCAGCUGCCUUGCCGAGCCCAACAAACUGGGCUGGGAAUUUCUUCCAAAGGCUGCACUGGCCAAGCUGCUCUGUAGAUCUGGCAGAUGCAGAACACGUUACAACAGGGGAUUUAUGGAACAAAAACAUUCCUGUGCUGCAGUCUUAAUUCUGAGAGCAACAACCAUCAUUGCUAAUUGCUCGUGGUAAAAGAGCAUUGACUGCCAGCUACUUGUAGGCAGGGGAUGGGUGCCAGCACCAUGCCUGAGCCAUAAAGGUGUGCAGGCAGAGCUUAGGGGCCAAACCCUCCCCAGGCACACAGCUUUCAUACGUGCAAUGUGUCAACAUGCUCCUGUGGGUCAGGAGAUCUGUUGGUUUUAGGGGAUUUUCAAGCUUGUCCUGCUGCAAGCUCCCAGAGACCGCAGCCCAGCCCCAGCAUACCUAGCAUAGCGUCUCGCAGCUCCUUGGUGAUGAUGGGGAGGUCAUCCACAUCCACAAAGUGCAGGUGCUUCUCAGGAGGCUGGCUGGCAGCAGCAGACAGCUCCAGGUAAUUCCCCCGCCCGGUGCUGACAAUGAAGACUGUCACCCCCAUGUCCUUCAGCAGCUGCAUGGGCUCAGAGAUGUCAUCGCUGGAGAACCCAUCCGUCACCCAAACCAGAACCUUGGGCACGUCUGGCCGGGCACCUGCAUCAUUGCUGAAGAGCUUCUCCUUGGCAAAGGAGAGUGCUUUGCCCGUGUUGGUGUCACCCAUGAGCUGCUGGGUGUUGCGGAUGGCUUGCUGCACCGUCCCACGGGACAGGUACCGGUCGAAGGGGAACUCCAUGGUGGGGGUCGUGCUGAUGUGGAUGAUGCUGGUCUGGACAUCGUUGGGGCCAAAGGUGAAAGGCCGCACGAGGUCCCACAUGAAUUCCUUGACCUUGGAGAAUUCAUAGUAGGAGACGCUGCCAGAGCUGUCCAGUAAGAAGAGGAUGUCUCCUUCUGAACUGGAAAUGGAGGGCUGAGGACCUAACAGGGGAAGAGAGAGGGAUGGGUAGAGAGAUGGUGUGCAAAUUAGGAAGAGCUGGUUGUCUUGGGCUCGAUCUCAGAAUGCAGUGAGAAGUUUGCUGGGGAGAGACUUCAGGAGGCACCCUUUUUAUUGUUGUUACUUACAGAGAGAGGGCUCCUGGGCUUUGUACUCAGCCCUGCUAUCAGCUGCUUGGGAGCUUCUCACCCCAUCACCCUGUGUUUGAUGGCUUUGCUUUAACCCUGUCUGAUCACAGCUGGGCUUUGCUGAACCCUCUGAGAUGCACUAAAGUCAGGGUAUGCCCAUGGCUGUUCACUACCAAUGUACACAACCAAAACAACUAUUGGGAACAGAAAACUGAAUCCUAAACCCUCUGGGAUCCAAAAACCUGCAUUGGGUUGGACACUCCAGGAGCUCUCCAGGAGCAGAGAGCGGCAUUCCCCCUUGCCUACAAACGGAAUUGCUUUACAGUCCUAUUUCAAGCUCAGGCUCAGGAGUCAGGGUAGAUCCAAAACCAAACCCACACGCCCUGGGUCCUUCUCUUGUUGCUGCUGAGAAAAUGCCUUGGAGCUGUCUCAGUUUGCACUGAUACCUCUUGUUAGCCAGCACCAGGCUGCUCCUGGGCACUUUGUGCUCUGAGCUGGAGGAGGACACCCUCCUGGUGCUGGAAGAUGGAUUUAGAAACCUUUUAGCCACCAUUCUGCUUUCUGGCAGCUUUUGAGAUGUGAAAAGGGAGAAAAAGCCACAGAGCAGCGGUCGGUGCCAGCCUGCUUGGGCUGCUCCAGCAGGGAAGGGGUGGGGAACGUGGGGUUGCCAAGCGAUGCAGGACCUGGGGCACUGAUGGGUUUGGUGCAGCACACAAUGGCUGAAUGCUGGAGCUGUGUGUGGGAGACGAAACCACAAGGCAGCAGACAGCUGAAUGGAAAGGCCUCUGUAAAAUUAAUUGCUUGGAGGAGAUGGAUCCUGCAAAGAGCUCUGCCCUUGCAGAAGGCACGCCAAGGCAGGCCCCGAGGCAGCUGGGAGGAGCAGGGUCACAUUGCCCCUCCUGGGGGCUGCUCCCAGAUGGAGGCACGAAUGGCAAACCCAGGGCAGGGGAUGAGUCAGGGGGUGCAACGCACCGAGUGUGUGUCCUCAGAGCAGCACCUGGCAUGGAUCAGACGUACAACAGGAACUCGAGAGCUGGCUCUGUCCCAUGGCAGGAGCAUCGGUGUCCACGUGUGAACAACACGCUGUGGUGAGCUCCUGUGCUGCUACAGAGAGCGGAGCCACCCAGGGCCGGACCCUUUGCCUCCCUGCUGCAUUACGUGCUGGCUGAGAGUGCAGAGCCAUACCAGACCCAUGACGAAACAACUGGAGAAACAGAACGACGUUGCUCGGAGGUGACUAAGCCAGAGAUGCCAGGAGGAGGCAGGAGCAGCUCACGUCCAGCUCUGUGUGACCCAGCACGACUCAGCCCUGUGCAGACACACACACCUGGCAACCUGGCACUCAGAGCUGAGCAGAAAACACAGCCACAGCCUGGCCAGCUUUCUGUUUGCCCGUGGUGACGUGCGACUCCGUCAGUACAUCACACAGCACAGCCAAACCCAUCACCUCCAGGUCCCUCGAGCUGCUGCUUCACCAAGGCAUGCAACACCGGUUCUGCUCUGAGCUCCUGGCUGCAUGGAGCUGCAGAUUCCUGCUCUCCCCUCCACUGGAAGGGCAUAAAGCCACUGACUGGGCUGCCAAGCUGUAGUGAGGGAUCUUGACAACACGGUGGCCUCUUCCCAGCAAAAAAUCAUUUGUUUUCAUUUCUCCCCUCUGCUCCCCGUUAUUUUGAGUGGUGGUGUUUGUUUCCUGAGUGUUGCAACAGGCAGCUGUGAAAGCUUCUGGUGCUGGCAAAGGACAUUGCUCCCCCGUGGCAAACGAGGUCAUGCAUGGAGGAACUGGGCGUGCAUCCCCAAGGAGCAGACAGCAAAACCCUGUCCUGCCAAAAUGAGCUCCCCAGGGAAACAGGGUGGCAAGCCGCAUGGAGCACUUGCUAAGGGAGGAGGAUGCUGAUGGAGAGCCAAGAGCCAAACCCUUGUAAUGCUGCUGGAGUGUGCCCUGCAGCUGUGGGCACAGAGAGGCGGGGGAACAUUAGCAUCCUGCGGACAUGGAAUUCACCCAUCACUGCUGGGAAUAGCUGCGUGGGUUAGGAAGCACUGCAGGAAGGGCUGCAGUUUGACACCACCACGUCCUGCCGGGGGGGCAGAAAGCACAGCCCAGCAGCCAAUGGUGACCGACAGCAAGUUGUGCUGGUGGGCAGUUUGGUAUUCCAGAGCUAUCUGAAGGGGUUGUGAUCCGUCAUAAUUCAGUUCCACCACUCAGCCCUGUGUAAGAUGGAAAUAAAGUCCUCUCUGUGAGACUUUUCUCCUAGAGAGGAUUCACAAAAACACCCUCACUGCAGUGAUGCUGAUAGUGGCUGGGCACACCACCAUCCUUCCCUUCAGGCUUUCCGUUCCUUCAUCUUUCUCGCUGUUCUUUGUCCUCCAUCCAACACAAACAUCUCCCCCAUGCCAGAAGUGGGGCUUUGGGGAUUUGUUACCAGCAAAUCCUUGCUUUACGCAAGCAGCUGCUGUUUUCAAACUAUUUCCUUGCUUUACAGCAAGAGAGGAUCGGCUGCUUGGCCGGAUGCCAAGCAGAGAUUUCUCACUUCUGUGGGGCUCUGGGAGAAGGGACGUCCCCAAAAUCUCCUGCGCCAUCAGCCCUGAGCACAGCCAGAGCCCGGGGAACAAGUGUUGGCAGCAUCCUGUUGUCACCCUCGGGCUGGUACUCGUGGAUAGGCAUGGAUCGGUCGUGCAAACAAGGGUUUAGAAGGGAUCAGUUGAAAGCGAAAUGUCACCGUGGAGUCCCAGCGCUGCUUAUUUACACACUUGGCUUUUCCAAGAGGAAAACAGCCAGGCGUGUGCGUCCUGCUCCGAGAUGCUGACAGGAGACAUCCGCUCCAAGAGUUCCCCUCAGCUGGGACCUGAACGCGUGCCACGUGCCUGAUUUACGUGGGCCUCAGCCCUCCUAGAGCAAGAAGGGUUCCACAGCCAGAAAGGAUUGUGUCCUGUCUUGGUUAACUACGCCUUAAAUUCUGCAUUUGUUUUCCCUUGUGCUGUUUGGCCACGCAAGGAAAAGUGUUCUGCUAGGAGUGGAGAUAAGCGUGGAGGGUGAGCAGCAUUGCCUGCCCCUUUCCUGGGGCUCUCCAUGCAGCCCCACAGCUCCCCAUCUUUGUCCCCUGAAGCUAAUGAAGCUAUCUCCUCUCACACCCAGCCAAGACCCCAGGAAGCGGAGUUAUGACCAUGCACCCUCAUGGCUCAAUCACUUUCCCUCACUGCGUGGUGAUGGCACACCACAAUGGCUCCAGACAGGAGCCCUGCCAGGCCGGCUGUUUGCUCAAGGUUGCUUUUGGGAGCGGCCGGAGGUGCCCACAUAAAAGCUGCCGGGGAGCAGGCGUGCUGCCCAUCAGCAGGUUCUCUUCCUCCAGUUUACAGUAUGCAAGCCUAAAGUAAGCUGUCAGUAGUGCAACAGCAUAACUGCCUCUGGAGCAUGGCAUGGGCAGGGACAGCAGCACGAUUCCUGAGCCAGCCAGCAUCUCCAGACCCUGCUCCACAGCUCGGGUCACUGGUGGGCUGAAUCCAUUCCCUGUAAUGGGAUCUGAGCAACAGCCACCGUCUGCUGUGCCCACUAGGAGCAGGAUCAUCCUGCCCAGGCACAACAGAACUUCAUGUCUCCUUUCACACGUCUCAGGUUCAAACUCCAGGGAAAAGCAGCUGCAGCCAGCGGCAGUCCCAGAGCUGCUCCUUCUUCUACUGGUGAGCACCAGGAUCCUCCCAGUAACCACACCAGCAGUCCCUGCCCAGCUAACCAGAGAGAGACACUCAUCCCUUCCAUGUCCCCCUUCCCGCUGUCGGCUCCAUGACACCAACCCGCAGGCGUUCUCCCCGAGCAGCAGCAAAGUGAAAGCAUUGUAAGGAGAAAACGUCAGGACUGAAUUACAGAGAUUAGGCAGAGGACAACGGAACAGGGGGAGUGACAGCCAGACAGGAUGAAAAGUAGCAGAGGAGGAAAGUUUAGAAGCCAUCAGGAUCUGAAACCAGUGAGCCAUAUUUCCCCCAAUUUGAUUUCGUCUCCCCUGGGAACUAUGAAGAAACGAAGAGGAAUUAUGAGCCAAGGAGCUGUGCAGACUGGAAAAAAAUCGUAUCCAAACUCAUCAAGCAAAUGGAAAGUCAGGACAGGCCCAAGAAAUCAGAUCCAACUGGGAAGCCCCGGAGGCAGCCAGCUAGUUAAACGUCAUGGACACUUGUUUGUGCUUCUCCUCCCAGCCCCACCUCAGGCAGACGGGCUGGGUUUGGUACCCAUCUGCAUCACGAAGGAACGUUGUAGUAUCAGGUUGUAUGAUACCCCAUACCCAUGUGUCAUGAACUUAGGGGCAUGACUCAGCCUUACCUACUGAUUCAUACGGGCUAGAAUAAGCUUCAUCCCAGGGAGACAGAAGAAUUUGAUACCCCUACUCUCAUCCUCCACCAUGUGGCCUGUGAGAUCAUAGGAUGGCCUGGGUUGGAAGGGACCUUAAAACCCAUUCUGUUCCCACCCCCUGCUGUGGGCAGGGUUGCCACCCAUUGGAAUAGACUGCGCAGGGCCCAUCCAGCCCGGCCUCGGGCACCUCCAGGGAUGGGGCACAUACACUGCUCUGGGCAUCCAUCCGGUGUGCAGUGCUCCAGUUGGGGCUUUGCAAGGGCACGUAAGCACUCUUGUCAAGUUUGUCCAGGUCAUUUUGGAGGGCAUAACUUCCUUCAUUAAAAAUGAAUGUCAGCCCUACAGCUCCUCUGCUAGAGCACCUGUGCCUCCUUGUGGGCAGCAGGGCCAGGUGCUGCAGAGCUGCAGGUGCUCCUGCACAAGAGCUGUCUGGCUGUGGCCUCUUUUGAGGUCCUUCCCUUCAGGGAAGGAUUGCACAAAGCAUGUCAUACCAAGAGCGGUGCUCCCAAAGUGCCUCAGCUUCUCCAGCUGUCUGGUCUGGAUCCUACCAUCACCAAGGCUCAAGGAACCUCUGGGCACCCCAUGCUAUCAGCUGUCUCUCUAAUUCUCAAAUCCACAUAGAUCCAUUACGCUGAUCCACAUUCAACUCGAUCGCUGAUGCUCAUGGAUGAGCAGUCAAACCCCCUUGACCGGGGCUGGUGGGAAUGUGGAGAUGAUUUCCUUGCAUUACUCACUUCCCAAGAACACUUCCCAUACAACAGUUGCUCAUAAUUCCCUUUUUUGUUUGUCACUUUUUCAAUGUCAAUGCCAUUCAGCCUCACACCCUGCAGCCUGGAGAGAUUUCAACUUUUAUUUCCUUUAGAGUCUUGCUAGGGUAGGAGGAAGCAGGAAGAAGCAGCCUGGAAAAUGAUUAGAUCUCACACAAUUUAACUUUAUUUUUAAACUUUACUGCAAAGGACAGAUCCUGUUUCCAGUAAGGCUGGUGCUUGCGCACGUUGACGCACUCUGUGUUCUGAAGCCAGCAGCAUCACCCUGCUUUGCUCCCAUAGAACUAUGGCCAGAACGGGGCUGCAGGGCUCAGCUUAUGGCCUUCAUCUGUCAUAACUCAACCAAAACAUACCAAUGGUGAUCACCUUCCUACCGUACCCAAGUGAUAAUCCAGCUCAGGAACAGUUAAGGCUUGUAAGAAAAAAAAAGAAGAAGAAAAGUACCACCAACCAAUCACUACAUUUUGAUUGUCCACUCUUCCUUGUCCCAUGGGUCGAUCCCAAAUUACAGGGCCUGAUUUGCACACACAGUGCCCGUGGGGAGUUUGGUGGUGGCUGCAGCUGCCGGGAUAGAUGCAAUAUCCUCUGAGGCAAAUCACAGCUGGAACAAACAGGCGGUUUGGAACACAGCCUUUCUUCAGCUCUACAUAAAAGCUUUUGUUUGGAGGGAGCUAUCUAUAUAUGGGAAUUUGGAAAUUCCCCAUUUGGAAAGGAAGCAAAGCAGCCCUGUAAGCAAUGGGAGAAGGAUGGGGCAGGAGCUCCCCUUGAGCCGCAGGUGGGCAGCAGCCAGGCUGGGCAGUGGGGGCUCAGACUGUGUCACAGUGGAGGUCUCAGCAGCUCCUGGCUGUGUUUGUGCAGGGUGUGAACUGGGAACUCUGCCGACCCCAGCAGUGCCACUGCAGCAGGAUUGGUCCCAGUGCUGGCAGGUCUCAGUUAACACUGUGUCGUGCCAUCUGCAGGUUCAAGUCAGCUCUUAUUUCUGUUAUGACUUUGGAGACAAACUACAAAAAUAGUUCACUCCCGGCACUCCCCAGCUGUAUUUAUCCUCAGAAGUUGCUCAAUGACCCCAACAGCUCUACAGCAAGACAAGAUCUGGCUGAUGCUUCAUCCCAAAGCAUCUUGAAGUAUAGAACUGCAGCCACUUCUGGGGUGAAGCACGGCACGUUUUCAACCACAUGCAGCAGCAUUACAGCAAAACUUCGGAGAUGGAAGAAAGUCACAGAAGGGUUUUAUGCUAAGAGAACGCCGCUGCUCACGUUGGAGCCAUUGGAAAGGCCUCCUCCCAUCACAAGCACCUCAGAAGUGGCUGUGGACCCUCUUCAGAGCCAGGCAGCACCCAGAAGGAAGGAAACGCCGUGUGAACCCCGCUGCUGUUUCCCUCCAGCACCGUGUCACACCAGGACACAGUGUCCUAGUUUUCUGUUUCAGCCGCUUAUGUGGAAUGAAGGAAUUUGUGGAACGAGCACACAGGUAGACGCAGGCAUGUCACAUGGCUCACGCAGAGAGGGACAAUGUUCUCUGAGCAAUUUUCUGCUCAUGCCAGGGAUCUGAGCCCCUCUGGCUCCUGCAUGCCAUGCGGUGCCCUCCUCGGGCUGUGUGAGGCCCGGACAAGGCAUGCUUGGAUGGUUUGGAAGGAGUCAGCUUGUCACAAAGUGCCAGCCCUCAGCUGGAUCCCAGGCACCAAAGUGACUGCACUGAACCUGUGGGUCAUCGCAGUGAACUAAAAACCAGAACAAAAGGAGGCACUAAUUGAUGCCUUUACCCUGAGAAGGACGGGAAGUUAGGCCAAAUGGAGAGGGGAGUGCUGUGCUGAGCAGUGGCCAAAGCCGCAGCCAAGCUCAGGGUGCCUCUGUUGGGAUAGAUCUCAAUGCACCCCGUCCCUUCCCACUUUUCUAAGGGCAUUUCCAUCUGGAAUUUGUUUCUGCAAUACUUCAGGCAGACAUAGCAUCCUGCUAGCUCCUUGCAGUGCCUCUUAGGAAGCAGGGCACCCAGUGACUGAGGAGGGAUGCGUUGGUUUGAGUCAUACACAGCAUUUCAGAUGCAGAGACAGCAAUUCUGGGCCUUUUCACUUGUAAAGGGCAACUUCUGUUGCUUUCCAAUGAGAUGACAGAGGCUGACAACACUGGAAUGUAUGAACAACCCACUGAAUGACAUCUGGCUGAUGAGGACGGCUUGGCUGACAGCAGGCUCCAUGGUAGGGGGGGGAUCUGACCCCAACCAGUAAGUGAGCACCCACCAGCAGCAAGGAACCCACAGGUCAGAGCACAGAUGCUUUGGGAGUGAAGGAAAGCCACACGCACAAGCAAAGCACAACAAGGAGUUCAUUCACUGCUUCCAUUAGAAGACAGAUGUUUGGCCACUUCUUGGAAAUUGGGGCCUCGUGCAACACAUGCAAAGGUUACUUGGGAAGAGAAAUGUCACAACCCUCUUGCCUGUCCUUUCCCUGAGCACAUCACAGUAAGGGGACCUUGAUGCCAGCAUGCGGCUGCCUUACCAGUGCUGUUUUAGUCACAAAUUACAGCACCAGCUCCAGCCAACCGGGGCACACCACGGGAUCUCCAAGUCCAUGAGGAGCCCAUGUAGGGAACAGAGGUGAUGGGAGAUGGCUCCUCUGUACCCUUCUCCUUGCAGCUGUUCUGUGGGACCCGACCCUGUGCAGCAGCCUGGCUCUCAGAGCUGCAGCUGGGCCAGCUUUGUUUACGAGCUCACAGAAUGACACGGAGUUCAACCAACUCCUUGCUUUCGCCUCGCCUCUGCGAUCUGCAGUGCUUUAUAUGCGUAGGAACAAGUGAGCUCAUUUGCAGAGUUCCAGGAGCGGGUCAAAGAGCAACCUGAUACAGAGGUGGAAAAUAAGCAGGAGGGCUGGCUGCCAGCAGCGUAGUGCAGAGCUGAAGCUCUUGGGCCUGACCUGAGUGUGCCAGCCUGCUCACCAUCUGAAUUUAGGGCACCUCUGAUCCAGCCGUUUCACCUUUUCCUUUUUAGGAGAAGUUCUACACAUCAUCUGUCCGACAGCUCACAGCUGUGGGGCAGCUGCCUCACAGACCCAUGGCAGUGAAGGGGUAAAAUAAGAAAAACAGCAACCCCCCCCCCCCUCCAAAAAAAAAACAAACCCCAAAAAAAACAGAAACAGAAGUGCCUCAUUGCUCGUUAAGAGGCUUCUGGAUUCCUCUUGUAAUGUAGGUCAUGGAUAGGCAGCACCUCUGUCUCUCCCAGUUACAGAAGAGGCCCUACUGCUGCAUGCAGCAGGCUGAGCAAAUGGCUGCUGGGUUAUUGUGGCAAUUCUUCAUCCUUUAUGUAGUGCGUCCUCAUCCUCCCCCCAUGCCAGAGGUGCCAGGGCUGUCCACGUGUGUCAGCUUCCCUGCCGAGGAGGAGCCGGCAGCAGAGAGCUCACUGCUUCACUGCUCCAGUCCUGUGCUUUACAGCCACAACAUCAAUAUAAGGAGAGGAAGAUGCGGAUGUGCAACAACUGGAGUCUGAGACUGUACAAGAGCCACGUUCCCCAUCCUUGGCUUCCAACCACGAGGUUGUAUGAGAGCACGGCAAGAUCGAUGGAACAGCACACAGCACUCGUGCCUGGUUGCACAGGCUCUACUUUGCAUGUGGAGUCAUCUGGGGGUCCCCAGCAGAGAUCCUCCAACACUUCAGAUUCCUGCCUCAUUUCCUCAUACAUUUUUCACUGCAAUUUCCCCAGCUGGACCCAGACUGGGGUCUCAUUUUGCAUUCCUGGAGCCAGAGAAGCUCUGAAACUUGGAGCCACCUUUAAGUAGUACAGAUGAGGAAAGCCUGGACAAUUUGGAAAAAGACAACUUUGAGAGAACCUCCUUAGAACUCUGUUUCCUGAGGAAUUCCCAGCUACACAAUAAGCCAUGACUUACAGAUCAUCCAGGUCUUGGCCUCUCUCAACAAUCGUAGCCUCUUGACCUGUCCGCCCAGGGGAGAGAAGAUGACCUGGAGCAAUCUGCACACACAUACAAGAGCAGUAUGCAGUCCGGAGAUCAGCCUGCACACCAUGAGAUGCACACUUGGCUAUCAUCCUGGGCCCGGGCUCCUGGUUUGACAGAUGGGGGAAGCCGUCCAAGACAUUGAUGAACGGGCCUCCAAGCACCCAUCAAGCUGCAUUCAGUCACAACAGGAAGGGGAAGCGGCUCGUGGUUGUGAGUUCCUACCAGGAGGGACAGCCUGGCCCCCGCCUCACGCACAGCUGCAGGAGCGCCGGCCAAGCUGCACUCCCUGCUCCCAGCCUGGAAUUCGGAGGAUAUCAAGGCCAGUUUCCCAUCAGACCCCAUGCCAGGUGGCAGUCAGACCCUCUCUAGCCCAAGCUCUGCCAGCAGUCUUCUGGUGGGGGCAGAAAACAAAGGUACCGUUCAGAUUAUGCCAGUAGCCUUUGAGACACGAGAAGAUUGGUUUUAAUGUAGGUGUUACCCAAAAACUGGUGUGCUGUGGUUCAAUGGGCUCAACACGUGUGUGGCUACAGCAGAGGAGCACAACUGGACCCGUCUAGCACAGGGACUUGCAGAGUCCCACUGUGGAGGGCAUUUCUCCACUUCAGCUGAACUUCGGCUCCAGGGCUUGGAACAAGGCUGCCUCUACAAGAAGCAUUGCAGAGGGCUCAUUACUGCUCAUCUGCAGCUUUUCAGCCCUUCUCAGCAAGGGGACAAAGCCAUAUGAGCAGGAGCAAGGCUCCAAGGACAAAACAAUCAUCCUUUUUGUGUAAGCCUAGCAAAGCAGCUGGGGAGCGAGUGGGAGGAGAGGGAACAACUCCUGCCCAGUCUGCAGGGCUCCUCCAGCAACACUGGGAGCUUCUUCACCCAGCACAUGGCUGGAUCUGAUGCCAUGCAGCAGCAAUGCGUGAGUGGCCUGUAGAAGUCCUGUUAUUCAGUCUGAACUUGUCGAUGGCGAAAGCCAGCGCGAGAUUGAAAGGGGAGAACAAGUUUGGAGUGAUGAGAGGGGAAGGGGAAAAAGGAGUUCCAUCCAUCAGCAGGUUGCUAUUUACAAUGGAAAGAAGAGGUAGGACAUGGGGGCUAGGUUGGAAAUCCUGUUUCAUAAACAAGACUAUCCAGGAUAAAGCCUGUCCAGGAAACAUGCCUGAGGGACACAGGGGGCUCAGCUGGAAGCUCUACGGCUGACAGCCAUCCUCCCAUCAUGAGCCCUGCCAGCCUUGUACUCCUCCCACAUCAGGCUGGGGAAAUAGUUGCAAUUCCAGCAGCCCAUAAAGAAAGAGGUGACUUGACGCAUGCAAAGCAAGCAGAACAAUUCCCGUCUAUUUUGGGGAUAAGAGGCUGUUGUUCUACAGCUGAGUGCCAUACUGUCUGACCCAUGGACGAAAGAGCAAAUGCUUUCCCUGCAGACCACUGGUGCUACCGAGCUGGGAUGUCCUGUUUGUUCUCCACCCUUCCUUGGAGGCACGGGCUCCCAGCAGCAGCCUCUCUGUGUACAAAGCCAGGCUGGAUGCCUCCCUGCAGCCAUUCUGAGAAGGCUGGUCCCAAGCUGGAACCCAGAGGAGCAUCUCGUCUGCAGGAAGGCACAUGGCUCACGUUGGUAUGAGCAUAAGAUUGUGCAAGGGAGAGCGUGGCUGCUGGCAUCCCAGCCCUGCUGCUGCACAUGGGCAGCUGCAUAGCCCUGUGUCAGCAUUCCCGGUAGGACAGGGCAGGGACAGAAGGGAUGGCAUGCAAUUCCCCCCACAAGAGUUACGAAAACAAGCCUUCUUCAGCACUUAUUCACUCCAGACCCGACUUCAUCCACAUCCAUCCACGCUGACUGCCAAAUUUCCUGAAGCCUACAUUGUGCACCCCAGCAGAGAUGGGACUGGGGCCAGGACCCCAGCACAUGAAGGUACAGCUUGAGCUUUCCUUGCAAGCUGUCCGUGCAGCAUACUGCACAACCCCUCCAAACAUCUGGCACAUCGGUAUGGGCAGCUCCCCACUGCUGAACGGGAUAUUUUGGGAUCUAGGUCAGGGGAAUUAUUUCCAGCACUUGCAGCUGGAAACGGACCCAGAAAAAUGUGAAAACAAACUUGGUUGGAGGCAGUUUGGUAGCCAUCUGCAAUGCUCUGUCACUGUCUUCUUCACAAUGGGAAGAGAAAUGAAUUGUUUUCAGACCUGUUGAUCGCAUGGCUUUGCUUGCACUCAUUAAUUACUCUUGUAGGUAUGGGUGGCAUUAAGAAGCUAUAUUCCAUCAACCUUGAUGUCACAGCAUUAGUCAUGGCAGUUGGCAGUUCUACCUCCCUUCCGCCCCAUACUAUUUCCAAUGCCUAAUAGAAGCUCUCCUUAACCCCUGAAGAACUGCUGGGAAAUGCUUUGCAAACCCCCCACAUCCCACAGUGCAGCACAAGCAAAGGAGCAGCACUCAGAGCUCCAUGCAAGUCCAGCUGCCCUUCCUGGCCAUGCAACCCUCUGCAAGCUCAGCUUAGCUCUGCCAGUAAUGUAUUUACACUGCUGGCACGUUCUAGUUUAGAUCUUUCACCGUGGUAGCAUUACCCAGCUCUGGGCACACCCUUUAGCUCUACAGUUAGAUCUUGCAUGCCAUACAUUUUAACAGCAAGUGACCCAAAACUCUGCCACCACAUGCAUUGGAUGUCCCCUACAAUGUGUGGUUGGGGCAUGGAACGCAGGUGAUGGGGAACUUGCAAAGUGCUGCAGCUAUUUUGCACCAAUUUGCUUUGAAAUAAGCAUGCUUGGUCGUCUCCCUGACUCCUUCAGCCUUUUCAAACAAACACACCUCCUCUUCUACGCCAUCAUCUGCCCAAGGGUCAGUCUUCCUCACAGGGUGUCUCACCCCCAUUUGUCCCAGCAGGUGCGUGAAGCAGCACCAAAUAGCUCCAAGUAAUGCAUUAAUGCUGAGCUCUGGAUGUGAGCCUGCUCAUCUUGCUUCCCACCAGGAGAGGAAAGAGGAAUCAAAGAGGAACCAAAGAGGCAUUGCUCAGACUGGGGAGGAGCUGAAGCCCACUGCAGGGUUUUCAAACAGGUUAUCCUUGUGGAAAUCUGCCACUCUGUAAGCACUCGUAACUCAAAUCCCGGUUGCUAGCGACAACACAAAACUUUGCCAUUCCAGCUGUUGCUCUCCUUCCCAACCGCAGCACUGAGCUGAAAAAGCAGUGAGGCAAUACUCACCAUCUCCACAGCCAUUUUCCAGCCCCAGUGCUUGAAAAAUGAGGACAGCUGAAGCUGUCCAUUGAAAAACGGGAUCGGGGCUGAACGAAGGGCAGGAGCCAUCACCCCAGGCAGAGCCAGCUGUGGCCUCAGGUGCUGUUGCUGUGCUGCAAGUGGGGCUGCUGCAGGCACGUGGUUGCCCCAGUCGCACACCUUGUUGUGUGCCCGUUGUGCAGACCCUGCCCAGUGAGUGUUCUCAUGCGCAGGGCUCCUUCUGCAUCCAUGCUGCCUCCAGGCACCUGCCAGGGGUAUUGCUGCUCUGCUGCUUUCCCUUUGGAAGGCGCUCAGAGCAUCCCUGCAGGGCAGCUGCCUCCUCUCUCCUCCCUGUGUGAGCUUCUCAGAGAUGGAGAUGGUGCACGGAACACGGAGAGUGAUGCUACACGUGAUAAUGCAUGCUGGAGAACCCAGCAAAACUGUUAUCUUUUUCCCCACCAUGUUACAGCUCUCAUCCUAACUGGAAUCAAACCUUUUCCAGGGUUUUAGAUCAUAAAGCACUUAGCUUUGGCAGGAAGCAAAGCAGCAGGCUGGAUGGACUGCUUCCCUGUAACCUGAACUGAAAACCUCAGUGGGCUGUGAUCAGCGGGUCUCCUCUUCAUGCUCCUAUGAAUUUUCAGACCUCAAAGCAUCUGUAGCCCAGCUGAGACCAGAAAGCAAACGCAGAAAUGCGAAGCUCCGUGCAGGAGAUAAGGAUGCUCACGCAGGAGAUACGGUGCUGCGAGUGGAAGAAUUGUUUACUUCUCAGUGGCAGCAGACAGAGCUUUGGGGGUGAGCCAGGAAGGCCACGGAAAGGGAUCCAGAGGGCUGAAAAGAGAUUUCUGCACGGAAGGGCUGGAAGCCAGCAUGGGGCCAAGGUAACCACAGCGAAAAUAGAAACCAAAAGGCCAUUAAAGCUGAACAAAGUAAAAGACGCAAGGUAGCAGAAAGUCAGAGCAGCAAAGGAGGCAGGUGGAUCAGCCAUCAGAGGAGGCUCUGCAGCUGUCCCCAUAAUGCAGGCAGACCCCAGCCCUACAUCCCAACCGGUGCCGAAGCAGCCUGGGUGCGUGAGCAGCCGGAACGCAGCACAGAUUUGUGGCCUUCGGCAGCAAGAGGAUGAGAACUCGCAGUUAUACCGUGCCCGUAGCUACCUGCCAUAAAUCUGGCACAAAGCAGCUGUCGCCAGUGAUUCAUGCUGGGGAUAUAUCCAGCUCAAGGUAAGCUGCCUGCUUGGCACCGACUGUCAGCACCUUCAGCUUUUUUUCUGGGUAUUUUUUUUUA